CUAGCUACAGGCUUAACACAUGCAAGUCGAGGGGCAUCAGGAAGAAAGCUUGCUUUCUUUGCUGGCGACCGGCGCACGGGUGAGUAACACGUAUCCAACCUGCCCUUUACUCGGGGAUAGCCUUUCGAAAGAAAGAUUAAUACCCGAUAGCAUAAUGAUUCCGCAUGGUUUCAUUAUUAAAGGAUUCCGGUAAAGGAUGGGGAUGCGUUCCAUUAGGUUGUUGGUGAGGUAACGGCCCACCAAGCCUUCGAUGGAUAGGGGUUCUGAGAGGAAGGUCCCCCACAUUGGAACUGAGACACGGUCCAAACUCCUACGGGAGGCAGCAGUGAGGAAUAUUGGUCAAUGGGCGCUAGCCUGAACCAGCCAAGUAGCGUGAAGGAUGAAGGCUCUAUGGGUCGUAAACUUCUUUUAUAUAAGAAUAAAGUGCAGUAUGUAUACUGUUUUGUAUGUAUUAUAUGAAUAAGGAUCGGCUAACUCCGUGCCAGCAGCCGCGGUAAUACGGAGGAUCCGAGCGUUAUCCGGAUUUAUUGGGUUUAAAGGGAGCGUAGGUGGACUGGUAAGUCAGUUGUGAAAGUUUGCGGCUCAACCGUAAAAUUGCAGUUGAUACUGUCAGUCUUGAGUACAGUAGAGGUGGGCGGAAUUCGUGGUGUAGCGGUGAAAUGCUUAGAUAUCACGAAGAACUCCGAUUGCGAAGGCAGCUCACUGGACUGCAACUGACACUGAUGCUCGAAAGUGUGGGUAUCAAACAGGAUUAGAUACCCUGGUAGUCCACACAGUAAACGAUGAAUACUCGCUGUUUGCGAUAUACAGUAAGCGGCCAAGCGAAAGCAUUAAGUAUUCCACCUGGGGAGUACGCCGGCAACGGUGAAACUCAAAGGAAUUGACGGGGGCCCGCACAAGCGGAGGAACAUGUGGUUUAAUUCGAUGAUACGCGAGGAACCUUACCCGGGCUUAAAUUGCAGUGGAAUGAUGUGGAAACAUGUCAGUGAGCAAUCACCGCUGUGAAGGUGCUGCAUGGUUGUCGUCAGCUCGUGCCGUGAGGUGUCGGCUUAAGUGCCAUAACGAGCGCAACCCUUAUCUUUAGUUACUAACAGGUUAUGCUGAGGACUCUAGAGAGACUGCCGUCGUAAGAUGUGAGGAAGGUGGGGAUGACGUCAAAUCAGCACGGCCCUUACGUCCGGGGCUACACACGUGUUACAAUGGGGGGGUACAGAAGGCAGCUAGCGGGUGACCGUAUGCUAAUCCCAAAAACCUCUCUCAGUUCGGAUCGAAGUCUGCAACCCGACUUCGUGAAGCUGGAUUCGCUAGUAAUCGCGCAUCAGCCACGGCGCGGUGAAUACGUUCCCGGGCCUUGUACACACCGCCCGUCAAGCCAUGGGAGCCGGGGGUACCUGAAGUACGUAACCGCAAGGAUCGUCCUAGGGUAAAACUGGA
rnacentral:rRNA from 1 species